AUAAUCAAUUUAUGGUGCCAACAAAAGCUUCAUCAAUGGAGGACAAAUAUCAAUCUCAAAAGCUUCGCACUAUGUUCAUCAAGAUAGUGCGAAGCACAAUCAAUUUAUGGUGUCAACACCAAAGCUUCACCUAUAAAGCUUCAACACCAAAGCUUCACCUAUAAAGCUUCACCACCAAAGCUUCACCUAUAAAGCUUCAACCCCAAAGCUUCACCUAUAAAGCUUCAACACCAAAGCUUCACCUAUAAAGCUUCACAUAUCAAGCUUCAACCCCAAUGCUUCACCUACAAUACAAAAUUUCAACACCAAAACAUAUAAAAGCUUUGCACACUCUUCAUCAAGAUAGUGCGAAGCUAAUUCAAGUUUUGUAUCCUAAAAAUAGCUUCAACUAGUC
rnacentral:lncRNA from 1 species